UGCCUAGGCAGUAAGAGGCGAUGAAGGACGUUGUAGUCUGCGAUAAGCCCGGGGGAGCUGACAAACAAGCUUUGAUCCCGGGAUUUCCGAAUGGGGAAACCCGGCCGUAAGGUCAUCAUGCACUGAAUACAUAGGUGUAUGAAGCAAACCCAGGGAACUGAAUCAUCUAAGUACCUGGAGGAAAAGAAAUCAACCGAGAUUCCCUUAGUAGCGGCGAGCGAACGGGGAACAGCCAGCAAUCUUUAUCCAUUAUGUUAGGAGAACGGUCUGGAAAGUCCGGCAAUAAAAGGUGAUAGCCCUGUAUCUGAAAACAUUUUGGAAGAACUAGGUUUGCAAUAAGUAGGUCGGAGCACGUGUAACUUUGACUGAAGAUGGGGGGACCAUCCUCCAAGGCUAAAUACUCCUAACUGACCGAUAGUGAACCAGUACCGUGAGGGAAAGGCGAAAAGAACCCCUGUGAGGGGAGUGAAAUAGAUCCUGAAACCGUAUACGUACAAGCAGUGGGAGCAGACUUGUUCUGUGACUGCGUACCUUUUGUAUAAUGGGUCAGCGACUUAAUUUCAGUAGCAAGGUUAACCGUAUAGGGGAGCCGUAGGGAAACCGAGUCUGAAUAGGGCGAUUUAGUCGCUGGGCAUAGACCCGAAACCGGGCGAUCUAUCCAUGAGCAGGUUGAAGGUGCCGUAACAGGCACUGGAGGACCGAACCCACUGUCGUUGAAAAGCCAGGGGAUGACUUGUGGAUAGGAGUGAAAGGCUAAUCAAACUCGGAGAUAGCUGGUUCUCCUCGAAAGCUAUUUAGGUAGCGCCUUGUGUAUCACCCUGGGGGGUAGAGCACUGUUUGGGCUAGGGGGUCAUCC
rnacentral:rRNA from 1 species